rnacentral:sRNA from 1 species
UAUUCUGCCCCACGGGGAAGGAUGAGAAGCUUCGACCAAGGUUCGACUCGAGCGAAACGAGAGAACGUUGCCGCAGGCAACGGCCCGAAGGGCGAGGCGCUUUAGCGCCGAGUAAUCCUUCCCCCACCACUG